rnacentral:misc_RNA from 1 species
AAGUCGUAACAAGGUUUCCGUAGGUGAACCUGCGGAAGGAUCAUUAAUGAAUGAAAUUGAGUGGGGCUGUAGCUGGCCUUUCACCGGGCAUGUGCACACCUCAUUCGACCACCUUCUACACCCCUGUGCACUUCUCAUGAGUUGGGCCGCGUCUGAAACACGACAAAGUCCGGCUCGUGUGUUUUAUACAAACGAAUCAUGUUACAGAAUGUCACUACCAUGCUUUGAAGCAUAUAAUACAACUUUCAACAACGGAUCUCUUGGCUCUC